GCAGGUCCCUUCGCAGCCAAUCACAUCUGCGGAACCGCGUUCCGAGCCUUUUCCGGACGUUUGGUAAAGCUAGCACCCAGCGGCGUUGGAAGUCCGAAUGUGACCUGCGGUCCGGAACAGAUCGGAUGGGCUGGGAAGAUUUAAUUCGACCCCUAUGAAAGAAGCAUGCCACUUUAUUGAUCAUACUUCAAACACAUAACCGAAAGUUAAGGAUCAAAUUCAGGAAGGAAAGAUGAGACCAGAACAGCACAAUUAGAGGACACGGCAAAGCAUCCCAUGGUAUGAACGUGCAAGUGAAUAGAAUUAAAACACAUGCCAGCAACAUGAACGGAUUCUAAAUAAGAGUUAGAGGUUUCUUUUCCCGAACGUAUACGUGCGGUCUUAACCAUUCCCCUGUUGAUUUAUCU